GAUGCCUUGGCAGUCAGAGGCGAUGAAGGACGUAUUAACUUGCGAUAAGCCCAGAUUAGGUAGUAAAAACCAUUUGAGUCUGGGAUUUCCGAAUGGGGAAACCCAAUACCAUAAGGUAUUACUGUUGAGUGAAUACAUAGCUCAACAGGGCGAACCGGGGGAACUGAAACAUCUAAGUACCCCGAGGAAAAGAAAUCAACCGAGAUUCCGAAAGUAGCGGCGAGCGAAAUUGGACUAGCCCUUAAGCUUUACACGCGUUAGACGAACAGCCUGGAAAGGCCGACGAUACAGGGUGAUAGUCCCGUAGUUGACGACGUGUGUUCAGUGAAAUCGAGUAGGGCGGGACACGUGAUAUCCUGUCUGAAUAUGGGGGGACCAUCCUCCAAGGCUAAAUACUACUGACUGACCGAUAGUGAACCAGUACCGUGAGGGAAAGGCGAAAAGAACCCCUGUGAGGGGAGUGAAAUAGAACCUGAAACCGUGUACGUACAAGCAGUAGGAGCAGGCUUUGUCCUGUGACUGCGUACCUUUUGUAUAAUGGGUCAGCGACUUAUAUUCAGUGGCAAGGUUAACCAUCUAGGGGAGCCGUAGGGAAACCGAGUCUUAACUGGGCGUUCAGUCUCUGGAUAUAGACCCGAAACCAGGUGAUCUAGCCAUGGGCAGGUUGAAGGUUGAGUAACAUCAACUGGAGGACCGAACCGACUAAUGUUGAAAAAUUAGCGGAUGACUUGUGGCUAGGGGUGAAAGGCCAAUCAAACCUGGAGAUAGCUGGUUCUCCCCGAAAGCUAUUUAGGUAGCGCCUCGGACGAAUACUACUGGGGGUAGAGCACUGUUAAGGCUAGGGGGUCAUCCCGACUUACCAACCCUUUGCAAACUCCGAAUACCAGUAAGUACUAUCCGGGAGACACACGGCGGGUGCUAACGUCCGUCGUGGAGAGGGAAACAACCCAGACCGCCAGCUAAGGUCCCAAAUUACUACUAAGUGGGAAACGAUGUGGGAAGGCUCAGACAGCCAGGAUGUUGGCUUAGAAGCAGCCAUCAUUUAAAGAAAGCGUAAUAGCUCACUGGUCGAGUCGGCCUGCGCGGAAGAUGUAACGGGGCUAAGUAGUAAACCGAAGCUGCGGCAAUAUACUUUUGUAUAUUGGGUAGGGGAGCGUUCUGUAAGCGGUUGAAGGUGUGUGGUAACGCAUGCUGGACGUAUCAGAAGUGCGAAUGCUGACAUGAGUAACGAUAAAGGGGGUGAAAAACCUCCUCGCCGGAAGACCAAGGGUUCCUGUCCAACGUUAAUCGGGGCAGGGUAAGUCGACCCCUAAGGCGAGGCCGAAAGGCGUAGUCGAUGGGAAACGGGUUAAUAUUCCCGUACUUCUUACAAUUGCGAUGGGGGGACGGAGAAGGCUAGGUGGGCCUGGCGACGGUUGUCCAGGUUCAAGUGCGUAGGCUGAGAAAUUAGGUAAAUCCGGUUUCUCUUAAGGCUGAGACACGACGUCGAGCAUCUACGGA
rnacentral:rRNA from 1 species